rnacentral:rRNA from 1 species
GAUGAACGCUGGCGGCGUGCCUAAUACAUGCAAGUCGAGCGAACAGACGAGGAUCUUGCUCCUCUGACGUGAGCGGCGGGCGGGUGAGGAACACGUGUAUAACCUACCUAUAAGACUGGUAUAACUUCGGGAAACCGGAGCUAAUACCGGAUAAUAUAUUGAACCGCAUGGGUCAAUGGUGAAAGACGGCUGUGCUGUCACUUAUAGAUGGAUCCGCGCCGCAUGAGAUAGUUGGUAAGGUAACGGCUUACCAAGGCAACGAGGCGUAGCCGAACUGAGAGAGUGAUCGGCCACACUGGAACGGAGACACGGUCCAGACUCCUACGGGAGGCAGCAGUAGGGAAUCUUACGCAGUGGGCGAAAGCAUGACGGAGCGACGCCGCGUGAGUGAUGAAGGUCUUCGGAUCGUAAAACUCUGUUAUUAGGGAAAAACAAAUGUGUAAGUAAAUAUGCCCGUCUUGACGGUAACUAAUCAGAAAGCCACGGCUAACUACGUG